UCGGGAGGCUGAGGCAGGAGAAUGGCGUGAACCCGGGAGCCGGAGCACGCAGUGAGCCGAGAUAGCGUCACUGCACUCUGGCCUGGGCCAAAGAGCGAGACUCCGUCUCAACAACAACAACAAAAAAACACCUCAAGGUCCUUUCAGUGGGUUACAGCGCCACACUGUCUGAUCCUUGUUACCUCUUUAGCCUCAAAUCCCGCUACUCUUCCUCUCCUUCCUAGCCAACUCGACUAGUUCCUGGAACUUGCUAGAAGUACUCAUCACUCUCAGGAAGGACGUACUAAUGGUUCCCCUUGAGUGGUCCACUCAGCUUCUAGGUUUCUGCAGGUGUUGUUCACUCACUUCCUUCAGGUUUGUAUUCAAAUAUCAUAGUCUUCUUGAGGCUAUCCAUAACAACACUGUUUAGCAUUACAACACCUCCCCACCGCCUCCCUCUAUAUUUUUUCCUGCCCUUGAGGAGCUUUCAGUCUAUUUGGUCAGUCAAAACAUGCCCUCAUGGGAAGCAGAGCAGGAAUUAAAUAUUAUAUAGAAUGUCAGAAAAGAGGCCAGGCACAGUGGCUCACGCCUGUAAGCCCAGGAAUUUGGGAGGCUAAGGUGGGUAGAUCACAUGAGGUCAGGAGUUCGAGACCAGCCUGACCAACAUGGUGAAACACUGUCUCUACUAAAAAUACAAGAUUAGCCAGGCACAGUGGCUCACGCCUGUAAGCCCAGGAAUUUGGGAGGCUAAGGUGGGUAGAUCACAUGAGGUCAGGAGUUCGAGACCAGCCUGACCAACAUGGUGAAACACUGUCUCUACUAAAAAUACAAGAUUAGCCAGGCAUGGUGGCACACGCCUGUAAUCCCAGCUACUUGGGAGGCUGAGGCAGGAGAAUUGCUUGAACUCAGAAAGUUCAGAAAAUAGUAUAAAUCAUGUCGGUAUUGGAAGAGAUGGUUGAUGCUUGGACAAGUGGCUUGUUAGGCCAAUGACAGGAAUGUAGACUUUCUUCUGAACAUCGGGAACCACGCAAAAUCCCUUUCCUGACCCCUCAACUGUUCUGAUUAUGUAAAACAAUUCUCAUAUCUUUUACAAAACUAUUUCUUGCACUGAGUAUAUUGAAUUCAAAUUAUGUGUUUAAUUUAUCUGAACAAGUGCCUGAAUGGAUAUGAAUAAAAUAAAUACAAAUCUAAAUGAAUUUACAAAUGAUAAAAUGAAAUACUUCAGCGUACAUGUGAAGUAUUUCCUUUCCCUUGCAGAAAAGGAAAAUAUUUCAAGAAGAAUCCCUUACAAAACAAGUCUCACAGGCCGGGCGCAGUGGCUCAAGCUUGUAAUCCCAGCACUUUGGGAGGCCAAGGCAGGCAGAUCACCUGAGGUCAGGAGUUCAAGAUCAGGCUGGCCAACAUGGUGAAAGCCCAUCUCUACUAAAAUACGAAAAUUAGCCGGGCAUGGUGGCACACAUUUGGCCUGUAGUCCCAGCCACUUGGAAGGCUGAGGCAGGAGAAUCACUCAAACCCGGGAAGUGGAAGUUGCAGUGAGCUGACAUUGCACCACUGCACUCCAGCCUGGGCGACAGAGCGAGACUCCAUCUGAAAAAAAAGGGAAAAAGGGAAAAAAAAAUCGAGUCUUAUAUAGUAGCAGAGAUUUUUGUUAAGUGCUCACUCUUUUUUCAGCAUCUACAGACUUUUGGAGUAUAAGGGGAGAUUUCCUUUUUCAUAACCAAAUUUUUGCUAUAAGCAAUAUUUCAUAGUUUACAGAAGUUCUUUUUAUAGAAGUUGAAGUGACUUUUCCACAAACAUGUUUGUACAUUAUUUUUCUUGUUUCUUGUUUGUACUUCUAGAUACAUUUAAAAUUGUAAUAAAUCGAUAUACAAGUUAUAAAGAAUAAUAUGAUGGCCAUGCUUGAACCCAAUUGUCAAUCAAAUAUAUUUGUUAUAUCUGUUAUAUUUGUCAUAUUACCAAAAACUGCUUUGACCUCUUCUGUCAUCUUCCUGCUACUGCCCCCAGAGGUAACCAUGACCAUAAAUUAUGUCACUUUCUGGCCUUAAUCCUUCUUGUUCCUCUGUUCCUUACAGUCAUUUUGUACUUUUUAAAUUAGCCUUCCCAUUUGAUCCUCUUUGAGGUCAUUAGGACAUUAUUUCAUAAACAUGAACAUGUGCUCAGAGUCACACAUAUUAUUAGGUGGUUCACAAAUACUUCUUAGUCUAUUUUUUCCUGGUUUAUUUCCUUUUAUGCUAGGAUAUUCUAUUCUCUUGAUUUUCGAUUUCUUUAGUCAGCGUAUCUUAAAUUUACUCUAUUCAUUUGUAUAUUGCAUAGGAUAAUAGCUGGUAUGUAGUUGGUGCUCAAUAAUUACUUGUGGAAUAAAUUAAUUUUUCUUAACAUACAGCAGGGAGACUUGGAGAGGAAAGGGCCUAGGGAGAGUUUCCUAUUUCUUUUUUUUUUUUUUUUUUUUUUUUUUUUU
rnacentral:lncRNA from 1 species